UACGGAGUGGGCGAGCAUUAUCCAUUUUAACUGGGCGUAAAGGGUGUGUAGGCGGAUAGCAAAUAAAAGACUAGAUUGGAAAUGGCUAUGUUUUGCGAGUGGAUUCUAAGUACCAGCUAUCUUUGAGGUGUAGAGAGAUUGUUAGAAUACAUGGUGUUCAAUGGUUCGGGAAACUGUCGAUCUCAUGGGGACUACUCGGAGUGAAGGCGUUCAAUCUGAUACAUCCUGACGCUAAGGCACGAAAUCUAGGGGAGCAAACGGG
rnacentral:rRNA from 1 species